rnacentral:rRNA from 1 species
AUUGAACGCUGGCGGCAGGCCUAACACAUGCAAGUCGAACGAGUGGCGGACGGGUGAGUAAUGUCUGGGAAACUGCCUGAUGGAGGGGGAUAACUACUGGAAACGGUAGCUAAUACCGCAUACCAUCGGAUGUGCCCAGAUGGGAUUAGCUAGUAGGUGGGGUAAAGGCUCACCUAGGCGACGAUCCCUAGCUGGUCUGAGAGGAUGAACAGCCACACGGGACCUGAGACACGGGCGAGACUCCUGAGGGAGGCAGCAGUGGGGAAUAUUGCACAAUGGGGGAGAGGCGGAUGUAGCAAUGCGGCGGGUAUGAAGAAGGCCUGCGGGUUGUAAAGUACUGUCAGCGGGGAGGCGUUACCCGCAGAAGAAGCACCGGCUAACUCCGUGCCAGCCGCCGCGGUAAUUC